rnacentral:rRNA from 1 species
GACGAACGCUGGCGGCGUGCUUAACACAUGCAAGUCGAGCGGUAAGGCCCUUUCGGGGGUACACGAGCGGCGAACGGGUGAGUAACACGUGGAUGACCUGCCCUCAGCUCUGGGAUAAGCCUGGGAAACCGGGUCUAAUACCGGAUAUGACUCCAUGACGCAUGUUGUGGGGUGGAAAGCCUUGUGCGGCUGAGGAUGGGCCCGCGGCCUAUCAGCUUGUUGGUGGGGUGANGGCCUACCAAGGCGACGACGGGUAGCCGGCCUGAGAGGGCGACCGGCCACACUGGGACUGAGACACGGCCCAGACUCCUACGGGAGGCAGCAGUGGGGAAUCUUGCGCAAUGGGCGAAAGCCUGACGCAGCGACGCCGCGUGAGGGAUGACGGCCUGG